rnacentral:rRNA from 1 species
GAUGAACGCUGGCGGCGUGCCUAAUACAUGCAAGUCGAGCGAAUGGAUUAAGAGCUUGCUCUUAUGAAGUUAGCGGCGGACGGGUGAGUAACACGUGGGUAACCUGCCCAUAAGACUGGGAUAACUCCGGGAAACCGGGGCUAAUACCGGAUAACAUUUUGAACCGCAUGGUUCGAAAUUGAAAGGCGGCUUCGGCUGUCACUUAUGGAUGGACCCGCGUCGGAUUAGCUAGUUGGUGAGGUAACGGCUCACCAAGGCAACGAUGCGUAGCCGAACUGAGAGGGUGAUCGGCCACACUGGGACUGAGACACGGCCCAGCCUCCUACGGGAGGCAGCAGUAGGGAAUCUUCCGCAAUGGACGAAAGUCUGACGGAGCAACGCCGCGUGAGUGAUGAAGGCUUUCGGGUCGUAAAACUCUGUUGUUAGGGAAGAACAAGUGCUAGUUGAAUAAGCUGGCACCUCGACGGUACCUAACCAGAAAGCCACGGCUAACUACGUGCCAGCCGCCGCGGUAA